ensembl:lncRNA
CCCCGAAUGACGUCACCACGUUGCGGAGCGUCAUUUACCUGGCAGGGCGCCUAAGCGGCUCAAACGCUCAAAAGUUUGGUUAUACUUUACGAGAACAGAUGACAACGGGGCAACUUGCAAUACUUGCAAAGUAGAUAUUUCAUUUAAAGGAGGAAACACUACGAAUAUGCAAAAGCAUUUGCUCACAAAACACGCGAUGAACUUAAAUGAAUGUCGUGUUUUUAAUUCCACUCCGGACUCAUGAAUCUCAACCCAGCAGCAGCGGUAACGUUUGCACGUCAUCUCCCGUUAAUGCGGCAGGUGACCAUGAUGAGAGAGACAGACAGAGUCUGGCUGGCAGUUCUUGCUGCAGUCUACCGGUAGCGUCUCCUUUCAGGCCAGGAUAGACAAAUGUCACCGAGCAGUGACUUAAGUUUGUGGUCAAAGGCUUGCACCCAUUUGCCACAGCAGAUGCCCCCGAUUUUCGAGCCGUAGGCUGUGGAUCUCUUAAGAACUCACUGUUGGGUUUGUAAGGCCAUGUUACUCCUAAAUUUCUAUCUUGUUCAAAGAGAAGAUAUAAAACAAAGUUCUAAGCUAAUCGACCUGUGUGUUCUCCUUUUUUAAAAAGAAUCGAUAAGAGAAUCGAUAAAGAAUCGAAUCGUUAAACAGAAUCGAAAAUGGAAUCGGAAUCGUGAAAAUCUUAUCAAUACCCAUCCCUACUCCCAGUACUCCCAGUUAGCUGUCAACUUUAAUUACAAGUAUUAAUUUUACCCUUUGAUGGUAUGAACAUUUCGAUUUAUGAUUUAAAGUACUGAAAAUUUCUCUAACUGGUGUCUCUCAGACUGGGAUGGAGCUGUGGUUUCUUGCUUUUCCUCUGAUGGUUUUUGUUCAGCCUGCAGGGAUGAUUUCACACUGUGAGUACUUUUGUAACAAGAGCAGUAGUAGAUGGCUGAAUGAACGUCUUUAACUGUUUUUAGCUCCAAAGCCCAGCUGCCCUGAUUAUUCACUGCUGAGAAAUCGUUCUGCUGAGGGUGGUUAUAGCCUCGAUUUAUUGCACCGCUGCUUAUGUCAAUAGAAAGAAGCAUUCUGAAUAAUUCUCUUGUGUCUUUCUUCUGGUACCAGUAUACAACAGUACUGCUGCACUGGUCAGUUCCCCCACAGCUGAAGGAGACACUUUCUCCAGCUCUCCUGGUCAGAGUUAAAUCACUCUGUAUCAGCUCUUCAGCCACAGUAAUCACUGGGGUAGAGACACAGACAGUACACAGCUGCAGUGCUGCACUGGUCAGUUCCCCCACAGCUGAAGGAGACACUUUCUCCAGCUCUCCUGGUCAGAGUCAAAUCAUUUUGUAUCAGCUCUGUGGCCAUGGUAAACAGCGCUGCAGAGACACACACAGGUGAAGGUAGAAAGUGUGUGUGAGCUGAUGUGGAUGUGAAUUCAGCAGCAUGGAUCAGUGUGAGGACAGAGAGGAGGGAGUCCCUCCCUCUAAAACCACUCUGUGUGGGGAACAUGAGAGCCAGACCAAAGCUCAGAGUUCAGAGCAGCGGUACGCACUGUAUUCUGCCAGACCUGGGCCCAGCUGCAGAUCCCUAACGACUGACUUGUACUUGGAGUUACACGUGUUUUUUACUCGAAAGCGUCUCCCUUCCAGUUGGUCCUCCUCACUGUUUUGUGGAGUGAAUCAAGCACAAGACUGUACUAAACUUGAACCUGAAUCUAAACAUGAACUGAUGCCUGAAACAACAAGCAUACCUGAACAAGAAGCCUCUGCGACUUCAAAUCUUCAGAUCCUCGGUUGUAAACAUGUCAUGGAUCAGGAUCAGGCUGGGCCCCGGCAGAUGAUCUGUCCAGUGUUGAACAGCAGUGCUGUAAAAAAGACAGACGGGCUUUUAAAGGAAUGGUUGUGGGAAACUCUGGAGACUUUGGGAACUGAGGAGCUGAAAAACUUCAAGUGGUGUCUGCAAAAUGUUACUGAGUCAAAGGAUGGCUUCAAGCCAAUCAAAAAGAGUCGACUGGAGAACGCAGACAGACUGGACACAGUGGACCUGAUGGUGCAGAUGUACGAUACAAAGACUGCAGAGGUGACGAAGAAGAUUUUAAGGAAGAUCAAAAGGAAUGAAGGACAACCCUUUCCCCAAAUUCUGCUGCAGGAUCAACCAGCUAAUGCCACAGGUAUGUGUUCAUUAUGGUACUAAGUCAUACUACACUAAGACUGAUAAUAUAAGUGUAAUAUUUAAGGGGGGAGACCAAAUAGCUGCCAGUCUGAUUUAAUCUAAACCUUUCUCAUCUUUCCACAAUUCACUAACUUUCAUCUGUGUGAAAAGGUGAGAAAGUCUGCCCAAAAAGGAAAUCUACUUCUUCUCUCUAUAACUCAGUUUGAUAUUUAACUGCAAGAAGCAUUCAACUCCAGUCAAACAGAUCUUUAGUUAAUCUGCUAUAUGAGGUGGACAAUUUCUCAGUUUCCUAGACUUCCAAAAGUAACGUAUUUUUAGGACUACACAUAUAUAUAUAUAUAUAAACACCCAGCGCGCCCCUGCGGGCGGUUUAUCCUUCAAGCUCGGGUCCUCUACCAGAGGCCUGGGAGCUUGAGGGUCCUGCGCAGUAUCUUAGCUGUUCCCAGGACUGCGCUCUUCUGGACAGAGAUCUCCGAUGUUGUUCCCGGGAUCUGCUGGAGCCACUCGCCUAGCUUGGGAGUCACCGCACCUAGUGCUCCGAUUACCACGGGGACCACCGUCACCUUCACCCUCCACAUCCUCUCGAGCUCUUCUCUGAGCCCUUGGUAUUUCUCCAGCUUCUCGUGUUCCUUCUUCCUGAUAUUGCUGUCAUUCGGAACCGCUACAUCGAUCACUACGGCCGUCUUCUUCUGUUUGUCUACCACCACUAUGUCCGGUUGGUUAGCCACCACCAUUUUGUCCGUCUGCAUCUGGAAGUCCCACAGGAUCUUAGCUCGGUCAUUCUCCACCACCCUUGGGGGCAUCUCCCAUUUUGACCUCGGG